UAGUAACAUAUGUUAAAUGUGCCUCGGAGUAUUUCCAUAUCCCAUGACAUCUGUCUGCCGGUCCGGGGCUGGGCUUUCGAUCAACGACAUGGCUCUGAAGAACUAUGCCUUCCCUGCCUUCCACAGGGUUUGCGCGACCAACAAACCCAGAUGCAGACGAGAGGUUUACAUAUUAUCGGUGUAAUACCUGCCGUCUACGACGCAGCGGAUACCAUCAAUGACGAAAUGAGAUCGCAGCUGCUACGGUAUGCUAGGGAACUAUCUCCAGAUGCGCUACUCGUCCGAACAUCUCAGAGAGAAGAAAUCGUAGGUGUUCCAAGCUGUCGGCUUAACGCACCAUCACUGUGGACACACCUAGCCAAUGUCAUCGGUCAGCCAUCGUUCGUCCAGUCGUUGGAGCUCAUCAAGACCGUCCAGCUUCCCUCCGACCUGCCAUUAUUGCUUUCCUUCACCUGCGCCCGCUACAUGAUCACCUACAGGGGUAUACCCAGGGGCUUGGCCAAUGACAAUAUGGAUCUAGUCAGCAAUCAGGAAUGCCAGAAAUGCCAA